CCCCGCCCCCCGGCCCCAACAGAAGCCCUGAUUCACAUAUUUAGAGAAGAAAUAAUCUCAAUCCUACACCAACUCUCCCAGAACAUGAAGGAGGAGGGAUACUUCCCAACUCAUUUUAAUUUAUAUUUGACUUACCCUGAUGCUAAAGCCAGUCUAAGACAUUACAAGAGCCUGCACAUGAUGGAUCAGCUGGCCCCACCCAGAUCAAUGAACUGGCUCAUCUGAUCUCGUGCCCCUCCUCCCCAACCCAGUAACUGACUGCGCAUUGCAUUCUGGUGGAACAACUGAUGCCACCCAGACUUGUGACCCCCACCCAGGAACUGACAGAGGCACAGAGACAGUUUUGAUAACCCUGUGGUUUCAUCCCUGACCAAACCAAUCAGUAUUUCCCAUUCCCUAGCUCCCUGCCUGCCAAACUAUCCUUAAAACCCUAGCCUCCGCAUUCUCUGGGAGGCAGAUUUGAGAAUUGUCUCAUCUUCUCGCUUGGCUGGCCUUGCAAUUAAAC